CAGUCGCCACGGGAAAACGAAGGGGGCUAGCGUUGUUCGGAAUUACUGGGCGUAAAGCGCGUGUAGGCGGGCUUUUAAGUCAGGGGUGAAAUGCCAAGGCUCAACCUUGGAACUGCCUUUGAUACUGGAAGUCUUGAAUCCGGGAGAGGUGAGUGGAACUGCGAGUGUAGAGGUGAAAUUCGUAGAUAUUCGCAAGAACACCAGUGGCGAAGGCGGCUCACUGGCCCGGAACUGACGCUGAGACGCGAAAGCGUGGGGAGCAAACAGGAUUAGAGACCCCCGUAGUCCCUGUCUCUUAUAA
rnacentral:rRNA from 1 species